UUUACAAAGGUUCUGUAAUCUGGCAAAAUAUCUAAUCGCGUAGGUCUGAAAAUAUCAGACCCAUUCUUAAAUAAAAAGGAUGUCCAAGCGUG
rfam:Marine metagenome 1633941, whole genome shotgun sequence.